rnacentral:rRNA from 2 species
UUGACGUUAGCGGCGGACGGGUGAGUAACACGUGGGCAACCUGCCCUUAGACUGGGAUAACUCCGGGAAACCGGAGCUAAUACCGGAUAAUCCCUUUCUCCACCUGGAGAGAGGGUGAAAGAUGGCUUCGGCUAUCACUAAGGGAUGGGCCCGCGGCGCAUUAGCUAGUUGGUAAGGUAACGGCUUACCAAGGCAACGAUGCGUAGCCGACCUGAGAGGGUGAUCGGCCACACUGGGACUGAGACACGGCCCAGACUCCUACGGGAGGCAGCAGUAGGGAAUCUUCCGCAAUGGACGAAAGUCUGACGGAGCAACGCCGCGUGAGUGAGGAAGGGGGUGGGGGGUCGUAAAGCUCAGAAAAAAAGGGAAGAAGCGGUACCGUUCGAAAAAAGGCGGUACCUAGACGGUACCUCACCAGAAAGCCACGGCUAACUACGUGCCAGCAGCCGCGGUAAUACGUAGGUGGCAAGCGAUAAAACAGAAUUAUUGGGCGUAAAGCGCGCGCAGGCGGCUUCUUAAGUCUGAUGUGAAAUCUCGGGGCUCAACCCCGAGCGGCCAUUGGAAACUGGGGAGCUUGAGUGCAGAAGAGGAGAGUGGAAUUCCACGUGUAGCGGUGAAAUGCGUAGAGAUGUGGAGGAACACCAGUGGCGAAGG